rnacentral:rRNA from 1 species
CCUACGGGAGGCAGCAGUGGGGGAUAUUGCACAAUGGGGGAAACCCUGAUGCAGCGACGCCGCGUGGGUGAAGAAGCGCCUCGGCGCGUAAAGCCCUGUCAGCAGGGAAGAAAAUGACGGUACCUGAAGAAGAAGCACCGGCUAACUACGUGCCAGCAGCCGCGGUAAUACGUAGGGGGCAAGCGUUAUCCGGAUUUACUGGGUGUAAAGGGGGCGCAGACGGCGAUGCAAGCCAGGAGUGAAAGCCCGGGGCCCAACCCCGGGACUGCUGUUGGAACUGCGUGGCUAGAGUGCAGGAGGGGGAGGCGGAAUGCCUGGUGUAGCGGUGAAAUGCGUAGAUAUCAGGAGGAAGACCGGUGGCGAAGGCGGCCUGCUGGACUGCAACUGACGUUGAGGCCCGAAAGCGUGGGGAGCAAACAGGAGUAGAUACCCCUGUAGUG